AAACAUGUCUUUUUGAUUUUAAUUUAAAGUUUAAUCUGCCCCCUGAUUUAUAUUGAAGGGCUGCAGUAAUUUGACUGUACAAAGGUAGCAUAAUCAUUAGUCUUUUAAUUGAAGACUUGUAUGAAGGAUUUGAUAAAAUAUAAACUGUCUCUAAUUUAUAUUUAAAAUUUAAUUUUUUAGUUAAAAAGCUAAAAUAAAUUUAAAAGACGAGAAGACCCUAUAGAGUUUUAUAAUUUAUAAUUUAAAAUAUUUAUAUAAAAUUUUAAUAUAAUAGAUUAUAAUUUAUUUUAUUGGGGUGAUAGAAAAAUUUAUAAAACUUUUUUUUUUUCAUUAACAUAAAUAAUUGAAUAUAUGAUCCUAAAUAAAGAUUAAAAGAAAAAAUUACCUUAGGGAUAACAGCGUAAUUUUUUUUUUUAGUACAAAUAAAAAAAAAAGUUUGCGACCUCGAUGUUGGAUUAAGAUAAAAUUUAAAUGCAAAAGUUUAAAAUUUUGAUCUGUUCGAUCAUUAAAAUCUUACAUGAUCU
rnacentral:rRNA from 1 species